rnacentral:rRNA from 1 species
UACAGAGGGGGCGAGCGUUGUUCGGAAUUACUGGGCGUAAAGGGCGCGUAGGCGGCCAACUAAGUCAGACGUGAAAUCCCUCGGCUCAACCGGGGAACUGCGUCUGAUACUGGAUGGCUUGAGUUUGGGAGAGGGAUGCGGAAUUCCAGGUGUAGCGGUGAAAUGCGUAGAUAUCUGGAGGAACACCGGUGGCGAAGGCGGCAUCCUGGACCAACACUGACGCUGAGUGAGCGAAAGCCAGGGGAGCAAACGGG